UACGGGGGGGGCAAGCGUUGUUCGGAAUUACUGGGCGUAAAGGGCUCGUAGGCGGCCAACUAAGUCAUACGUGAAAUCCCUCGGCUUAACCGGGGAACUGCGUCUGAUACUGGAUGGCUUGAGUUCGGGAGAGGGAUGCAGAAUUCCAGGUGUAGCGGUGAAAUGCGUAGAUAUCUGGAGGAAUACCGGUGGCGAAGGCGGCAUCCUGGACCGGCAUUGACGCUGAGGAGCGAAAGCUAGGGGAGCAAACGGG
rnacentral:rRNA from 1 species